rnacentral:rRNA from 1 species
AUUGAACGCUGGCGGCAUGCUUUACACAUGCAAGUCGAACGGUAACAGGCCGCAAGGUGCUGACGAGUGGCGAGCGGGUGAGUAAUGCAUCGGAACGUGCCCAGUCGUGGGGGAUAACUACUCGAAAGAGUAGCUAAUACCGCAUACGAUCUAUGGAUGAAAGCGGGGGACCGUAAGGCCUCGCGCGAUUGGAGCGGCCGAUGUCAGAUUAGGUAGUUGGUGGGGUAAAGGCUCACCAAGCCAACGAUCUGUAGCUGGUCUGAGAGGACAACCAGCCACACUGGGACUGAGACACGGCCCAGACUCCUACGGGAGGCAGCAGUGGGGAAUUUUGGACAAUGGGCGCAAGCCUGAUCCAGCAAUGCCGCGUGCAGGAAGAAGGCCUUCGGGUUGUAAACUGCUUUUGUACGGAACGAAACGGCUCUGGUUAAUACCCGGGGCUAAUGACGGUACCGUAAGAAUAAGCACCGGCUAACUACGUG